UUUACACGAGACGUUUAGAGUUCUCCAACAAUUAUGUUUUAUGUUGAAUUCAUUCUUCCGAUUUAGCUUUUUGAAUUGGAUUCUAUUUUGAACUCGUGUAGUAGAGUUUGGUUGGCAAGAAAAGUAGAACAUUUGAUCAAAAUAAAACAAAAUGUAGAAUCAAUUUAUGGUGGCAGAAUUCAUAUUUGAAUUUUAUUGAGCAUUGUAUAAUGUUUUAAAUAGCACAAGAGUUUUCUCGGUCGAUUCAUGAUUAACUUAUGGGCCGAGCUCUCUCAUUCCACAUAAACACAUUUCCUAAGGAGCCUUUUCUACCAACCACUCGCUUUUUAUUUUAUUUUCAAUAAGACCUUUUUCCUUUGUCCAGUUAUAAGUGAACAACUGGAUCACUUAAGUUAUCGCUGUUUAUUCUCAACCAAUUAGGUUUCAACAUUCUCAAAGCUCAUUUCAGUUACUUUCUAUCAGACUAAUCAAGUACCAAAUA
rnacentral:lncRNA from 1 species